UACGAAGGGGGCUAGCGUUGUUCGGAAUUACUGGGCGUAAAGCGCACGUAGGCGGGUCGUUAAGUCAGGGGUGAAAUCCCGGAGCUCAACUCCAGAACUGCCUUUGAUACUGGCGAUCUUGAGACCGGGAGAGGUGAGUGGAACUGCUAGUGUAGAGGUGAAAUUCGUAGAUAUUAGCAAGAACACCAGUGGCGAAGGCGGCUCACUGGCCCGGUACUGACGCUGAGGUACGAAAGCGUGGGGAGCAAACAGG
rnacentral:rRNA from 1 species